UAGGGAAUCUUCCGCAAUGGACGCAAGUCUGACGGAGCAACGCCGCGCGAGUGAAGAAGGAUUUCGGUUCGUAAAACUCUGUUGUUAGAGAAGAACAGCGCACAGAGUAACUGUUAUGCGUGUGACGGUAUCUAACCAGAAACCCACGGCUAACUACGUGCCAGCAGCCGCGGUAAUACGUAGGUGGCAAGCGUUGUCCGGAUUUAUUGUGCGUAAAGCGAGCGCAGGCGGUCAAUUAAGGCUGAUGUGAAAGCCCACGGCUCAACCGUGGAGGGUCGUUGGAAACUGGAAAACGAGAGGGAAGAAGAGGAAGGUGGAAUUCCGUGUGGAGGGGUGAAAUGCGUAGAUAGAUGGAGGAACACCGGGGGCGAAAGCGGCUCGGUGGUAUGUGACUGACGGUGAAGCUAGAAAGCGUGGGGAGCGAGCAGG
rnacentral:rRNA from 1 species